rnacentral:rRNA from 1 species
GACAGAGGGUGCAAACGUUGUUCGGAAUUACUGGGCGUAAAGCGCGUGUAGGCGGCCCUGCAAGUCGGAUGUGAAAUCCCACGGCUCAACCGUGGAAGUGCAUUCGAAAACUGCAGGGCUAGAGUCCUGGAGAGGAAGGUGGAAUGCUUGGUGUAGAGGUGAAAUUCGUAGAUAUCAAGCGGAACACCGGUGGCGAAGGCGGCCUUCUGGGAACAG